rnacentral:rRNA from 1 species
GACGAACGCUGGCGGCGUGCUUAACACAUGCAAGUCGAACGGAAAGGCCCUGCUUUUGUGGGGUGCUCGAGUGGCGAACGGGUGAGUAACACGUGAGUAACCUGCCCUUGACUUUGGGAUAACUUCAGGAAACUGGGGCUAAUACCGGAUAGGAGCUCCUGCUGCAUGGUGGGGGUUGGAAAGUUUCGGCGGUUGGGGAUGGAUUCGCGGCUUAUCAGCUUGUUGGUGGGGUUGUGGCUUACCAAGGCUUUGAGGGGUAGCCGGCCUGAGAGGGUGACCGGCCACAUGGGGCCUGAGAUACGGACCAGAAGCCAACGUGAGGCAGCGGGGGAGAAUAUUGCGCAAUGGGGGGAAGCCAGAUGCAGCAGCCCCGCGUUCGGGAUGACGGCCUUCGAGUUGUGAACCGCUUUCGCCUGUGACGAAGCGUGAGUGACGGUAAUGGGUAAAGAAGCACCGGCUAACUACGUG